rnacentral:rRNA from 1 species
UAGGGAAUAUUAGUAAUGGGCGAAAGCCUGAACUAGCAACACCGCGUGUGCGAAGAAGGCCUUCGGGUUGUAAAGCACUUUUUGAGAGGAUGAGGAAGGACGGUACUCUCAGAAUAAGUCUCGGCUAACUACGUGCCAGCAGCCGCGGUAACACGUAGGAGGCAAACGUUAUCCGGAUUUACUGGGCGUAAAGCGCGUGUAGGUGGUUCUGUAAGUAGGGCGUGAAAGCUCCUGGCUCAACUGGGAGAGGUCGUUCUAAACUGCCGGACUAGAGGAUGGUAGAGGGAGGUGGAAUUCCGGGUGUAGCGGUGGAAUGCGCAGAUAUCCGGAGGAACACCAGUGGCGAAAGCGGCCUCCUGGACCACUCCUGACACUCAGACGCGAAGGCGUGGGGAGCAAACA